rnacentral:rRNA from 1 species
UACAGAGGUCUCAAGCGUUGUUCGGAUUCAUUGGGCGUAAAGGGUGCGUAGGCGGCUUUGUAAGUCAGUGGUGAAAUAUGGCAGCUCAACUGUCAGGGUGCCAUUGAUACUGCGGAGCUUGAGUACAGAUGAGGUAGGCGGAAUUGACGGUGUAGCGGUGAAAUGCUUAGAUAUCGUCAAGAACACCGAUAGCGAAGGCAGCUUACUGGGCUGUAACUGACGCUGAGGCACGAAAGUGUGGGGAUCAAACAGG